rnacentral:rRNA from 1 species
GAUUGAACGCUGGUGGCAUGCUUUACACAUGCAAGUCGAACGGUAACAGGCCUUCGGGUGCUGACGAGUGGCGAACGGGUGAGUAAUGCAUCGGAACGUGCCCAGAGGUGGGGGAUAACGCAGCGAAAGCUGUGCUAAUACCGCAUGUGAUCUGAGGAUGAAAGCGGGGGACCAAGCAGCAAUGUUUGGCCUCGCGCCUCUGGAGCGGCCGAUGUCAGAUUAGGUAGUUGGUGGGGUAAAGGCCUACCAAGCCGACGAUCUGUAGCUGGUCUGAGAGGACGACCAGCCACACUGGGACUGAGACACGGCCCAGACUCCUACGGGAGGCAGCAGUGGGGAAUUUUGGACAAUGGGCGCAAGCCUGAUCCAGCAAUGCCGCGUGCGGGAAGAAGGCCUUCGGGUUGUAAACCGCUUUUGUACGGAACGAAAAGGCUCUGGCUAAUACCUGGGGCUGAUGACGGUACCAUAAGAAUAAGCACCGGCUAACUACGUG